UACGGGGGGAGCAAGCGUUGUUCGGAUUUACUGGGCGUAAAGGGCGCGUAGGCGGUCAGCACAAGUCAGUUGUGAAAUCUCCGGGCUUAACUCGGAAAGGUCAACUGAUACUGUGCGACUAGAGUGCAGAAGGGGCAACUGGAAUUCUCGGUGUAGCGGUGAAAUGCGUAGAUAUCGAGAGGAACACCUGCGGCGAAGGCGGGUUGCUGGGCUGACACUGACGCUGAGGCGCGAAAGCCAGGGGAGCGAACGGGG
rnacentral:rRNA from 1 species